rnacentral:rRNA from 1 species
GACGAACGCUGGCGGCGUGCUUAAUACAUGCAAGUCGAACGGACAGGCCCUGCUUUUGUGGGGUGCUCGAGUGGCGAACGGGUGAGUAACACGUGAGUAACCUGCACCUGUCUUUGGGAUAUCUUCAGGAAACUGGGGCUCAUACCGGAUAGGAGCUCCUGCUGCAUGGUGGGGGUUGGUAAGUUUCGGCGGUUGGGGAUGGACUCGCGGCUUAUCAGCUUGUUGGUGGAGUAGUGGCUUACAAAGGCUUUGACGGGUAGCCGGCCUGAGAGGGUGACCGGCCACAUUGGGACUGAGGUACGGCCCAGACGCCUACGGGAGGCAGCAGGGGGGAAUAUUGCAGAAUGGGCGGAAGCCUGAGGCAGCAACGCCGCGUGCGGGAUGACGGCCUUCGGGUUAUAAACCGCUGUCGCCUGUGACGAAGCGGGAGUGACGGUAAUGGGUAAAGAAGCACCGGCUAACUACGUG